UCAAAGUUCUUCCAUCAUCUUUACAUAUAUAUAUAUAUAAACAUAUUUCCCUCUCAUUACCAUAUUCCUCUCAGAGAGUGAGAGAUUUUCUUUUUAAGGUGUUUUUGUUUUUGUUCAUAAAUUUACUGCAACUGCAGGAAGCAUCCAAAGGGAUCGCAUUGAUCCCACUUCGUAGCAUUUUUUUUACCUUUUUUUUUUUUUUUUUUUACCCCUUUGCUAUGGAAUUUGGAUCAUGCUAUCUCUUUGGAUUCCUCCUGCAGUGUAAUUUUUCUUUUCCCACCGCCGUACGCCGCCGUACCGGAGAUCCAUUCACACAAGCCCUUCUUUCAUCAGGUACAUACAAAUAACGAGAUAGUUUAUAGUUGGUUGAAAGGAGGAAGAUGGAGAAGGCACAUGCUUUCAAGUUUCAAGGAGUUAAAAUUUUAGACGAAUCCAAGGCAGUUGGAAAUUAUAAAGAGAUGAGAUUGAUUGAUUGGUUAUUUAUUAUUUUAAAAGGGCAGCUUGAUUUUUGUUUGUUUGUAUUGAAAAUUUUGGACUUUUUUUUUCCCCUUGUUUUCCCACUUCAAAAGCCUCGAGCUAAGCAAAGGAAUCACAUGUGAGAAGACAAUGACUUUUAAACCCCA